CGUUUAAGGUGUAUUAGAUAUGGUGAUAAUUUGGGAGUGUUUAUGCCAGCUUAAUUCAACAGACACUGACACAAAAGUUUUCUGGUAGAAGAUAUGAGUAAACGUGUAGUUGCCUCGUGAAUAAGUGCUCUAAACUGUUCGUGCUUAUUUGGUGUUACAAUUUAAGACUGAAGAAUGCAGAUGCAUAACAAAAUACCAUAUUACCAAGUGUGGAAAACGAUCUAAAAGUGAUACAAAAUGUCUCCAAAUUUGACGUUAUUCGUCAAUGACGUCAUACGCGUCAUGAUGAAACUUCCGUCCUGCUGUCUGCUGACGUCAACGAUGACGUUAUUGUUCAUAUCUGUGAUAAGCCUAGCCAUUCCAUGCACAGCUGAUGGCUCCGGUACCACAACUCAAAAACCUAAAACUGAAACGGAUCAGCCCUUUCUUCAAUCAUCUAUGUUCAUAGGACUUGCUGCUGGAGUUGGUGGAUUUCUCGCCUUCAUGGUGCUGUGUUGCAUUGUUUGGAAGUGCUUUUGUGGAGGAGAAACAGACUUUCAAAGACAUUCGUAGGCGUAGAUAAAAACUUCACUUGUACAUUUUUAGAAGUGACUUUGAUGAGGAUGUUUUACUUUCAAAUACCCUUAUAUAAGGGAUAGAUAUUUCCAUAUGUCAGUUUUACCCGAGAAAUCGCUAGAUGUGAACGUAUGUUGACGGAUGCCAUAGGGGCAAAGAAGUUCUUUGGCGGAUACGAAGAUGAAAUUUCCUAAAAAGUGAUUUGUUGGACGCUAAACAUGAUUUAAAAGACAUUUCAGUGAUCCUUAGUUUUGUCACCGAGUAGUAUUUUUUCGAUAUUUGGAUAUGCUUUUUUUCAGGCACCAGUUUGAAUAACAAGGAUAUUCGAAAGGAUUAUUUUAAAUGUAUUAAACGCAGAAGCCAGGAGGAAUUCCAAAUAUGUAUAUAAGCUCGGAAAAAUCCAUUUUAUAAUAACCUCAAAAGGCCGUCCCUUUUUUUUGCAGACGCCAGGCGGAAUUUAUAAGACAUUUGUGAACGUGGAAAGAUGUCUACAUUUGAUUGUGCUUCAGACGGCGUAGCUUUUGCUUGAACGUGCUUUUGGUGGUGUAAAGACGAUAUUUGAGAAACAUCUUACAAAUGUGGAUACACUCUUGUAUUGUAAAAAUCCCUGAAGACUCUUGUCAAUGUUUCUCAUGGAGGUAGUUUGGAGUUAGACAUGGAAAGUCAUUCGAACAGUGCACGCACAUUUUGAUCGGGUUUAAAAAAUGAAGGUAAACUAUUAUAUAUCGGCGUGCUCUAUUUGAACAACCAUGUAUAUAUUAAGUAUAAACAAAACCUUUUUAAUGUGUUUGAAUUACUAAACGUAAUAUUCUUAAGGGAAAUUUGUCCGCAUGGAAAAUUCUUAUCAUGUCAAUAUGAAGUUCAUUGAGUCAAUGGAAUUCAUCGAAAGAAACACGGAUGGAAUUUGUAGGAUAGUGAUGUAAAAGGAAAUCAUGAGUGGUGUAUUGUUUUGUUUUUCAAAUUUGGUGGCAGAAUAAGAGUAUUAAUUAUAUUUUUGAAUGGUGGACAAUUUGUUGCGGAAGAACAUGCUAGUUUGUUUACGUAUUAUGAAAAUGAAGCAACACGGUUUCAUGCUUCAGCUUUAACUCAAUACUUCAAAACCUUGUCUUAUAUAAAACCAAAAACACGCAAAUCAACGGAAAAACAAAUUAUGCGUAAACCGAUUCAUUGACAGUUAUAAACAAAACAUAAAGAUACCGUCCUAAGAUAUAAAUACAAGUGCAUUCUUGUGUUUUUUUUCUCAAAACAACAGAUUUUCAACAUUUACAAAUUUGGUCAGCACCUCGUUUUAACAUCGUCGUUUUAACUGUGCAACGGACAUGACUUCUCGAUGAAAACGGUGUUAAAUGAUCGAAAGCAAGGGGGUGACGACAAAAUUGAAAUGAUUAAUAUAGCAUGAGAGACGUUUUUAUUUAUAUACAAUAAUUAUGAUAUACGUUAACAUAUCAGUGUAAAGUAUAGCAGACAUUCAUAUUAUUUAUAAUGAAUAACAGCCAAUAAGAUCUAGCUUUAAGAUUAUUUAAGCUAAGUACCGGCGACAGGCAUAUAUUUAUCAAGCUACAAGGCUUAUCAGACACUAACCGACACAUACACAGCAUCACAGGGUAACAAAGACACAUGACACUACAUUUGCACAUCUUCAUAAUAUUAUUCCUUUUGUUUUAUAAAACUGAUAAUGGUAUCCUUAAUAUUUGGUUUGAUUUAAUAUUUGAGCUAAGAUGGUUUGAUUUUGUUUCAGUCAUGUUAAGACGUAUGCAAUUGUAAAUCAAAUUUCCUCUAAAGGUAUUUUGAGUGGUCAUUUUUUAUACAUUAUGUUAUAAACAAAUCUGCCUACCAUGUUUUUAUUCGAAGAUUUAGGUAGUCUUUUACAGCGCUGGUUCGCUUUCAAAUGUCGUAGAAUAGUCAGCAUAUAAUCAGUUUCUAGUGUGAUCGUAAAUUGUUUCUUUUCUAGCACCCAAAAUAUAAAAUAUUUCAUAUAGAUCGUGCAAUUUGUUGAUUCCCAAUACAAACUUGAAAUCAUAGAGAUGAAGAUUUCUGUAUUGACUUAUACAUAAGAUGUUAAAUUAAUGAAUAGUAUCACGUAACUAUGUAUUUUGUUAAUUAUCCAAUUUUGUGAAAGGUAUUCUACUCUUGUGUACAUAUUUCUUCGGGUGCUUUUUGUUCAAUCAUGUUUCAUUUUUCAUGUUUUUUGAAUAAAUGUAUGUUUUGUAGGUCGUAUAAGAGUUAAUAUUUGUUAGAACGGUGAUUAACUUCGUAUUUCUGAGAGUUAACGUUUGUAAGCAUGAUGGUUAAUGUUUAUCGGUAUAGGGGUUAAUGUUUAUAUUUUUGAUGUUUGAGUUUGGAGUGUAUGAGGGUUAAUUUUCUAGGUUUGAUGGUGAAUGUUAAUCAGUAUGGUGGUCAAUGUUUAUCGGUAAAAGGGGUUAUGUUUGUAGGUAUUACGGUUAAUGUGUAUCCUUAUAUUGGUUAAUGUUUGUCAUCAUAUUGGUAAAUGUUUAUCCUUAUAUUGGUUAAUGUUUAUCAUUAUAUUGGUUAAUGUUUAUCAUUAUAAAGGUGAAUGUUUAUCAUUUUUAGGGUUAAUGUUUAUCGGUUAAGGGUCAAUUGUAACUUAGAUGAAUGAUCUAAAUAUUUGAUGGGUAUGAUGGUUGAGAGUGAAUUGUAUGAUCGUCAAGUGUUGAAUAGUUGUGAUAUUUACCCUGAAUAUUAUAAUAACUAACUGCAUGCAUGAUCAAUGUUUCGAGACAUCAAUUGCGCUUGCCUGCAGUUUGUGAUUUUAAUGUAACAUGUAUAUGUUUGAUAAUUGAGUUGUUUUAGUAGAAAGCUGAAUGACAAUUAUUAGUAUAACGUACCAUUCCAAACAUAUUCUGACAGUUUUCCUGUAUUAUUUCCAAUCAUUUUCUGAUAAAGUGUUCUUGUAUUAUUUUGAAUGUUUUAAAUAUUGAUAUAUCUAACUGAUUAAUAAAAAUGUGAAUUUUGA